rnacentral:rRNA from 1 species
CGUGAGCAACCUACCUUUGAGUCUGGGAUAGCCCUGAGAAAUCAGGAUUAAUACCGGAUAUGGUCAUUACACGGCAUCGUGUUGUGAGUAAAGGGGCAACCCGCUCAAUGACGGGCUCGCGGCCUAUUAGCUUGUUGGUGGGGUAACGGCCUACCAAGGCGAUGAUGGGUAGCUGGUCUGAGAGGACGAUCAGCCACACUGGGACUGAGACACGGCCCAG